CGGAGAGUGCUGGGACGUGUGCCCUCUUCAAGGCAAGCGUGGGCCGCGCUGAGCCAUCGUCACUGUCACCAGCGCCAUCACCACCAUCACCAUCGCGUGCCUUCUGCUACCGUCCCGCACACACAUGACACCAUCAAGCGGUUUUGAACAGGGAGGUGACACAAUCAACCAGCCACAUCUGACGGUGGCGGCCAGCAGUGUGGCCACACGAACAGUGGGAGGCCUGGCCACAGCCCACACUGUCCUGGCGACUAGAGAGAGGCCGGGAAACUCGGGCGUCUGCUGAGCCACUCCGGGAUGGAGAGAGCGUCCAAUUUCGCACUGCCCCCACUCUGACACACAGUUUACACACGGUUCGCUCUGCACAUGGGGAAACUGAGGCCAAGAGAGGCAAGCAAGGGGCAGCGUGGUUAGGGCAGAAGCUCUGCUUAUGGACCCCGGGGAGCUGGGUCUGUGUUCUCUCCCGGAAAAUGGGCACCCAUCUCAUAGGGCUGUUGCCGUUUCUCCCUCAUUAGCACUCUGAUGGUCCAAAGCACACACAGAGGUUCCUGUGAUCUCUGGCAGCGGGUACACGGAAGGCCUGGGCACCUCCAUGCAGGUGCACCCCCUCGGAGGACACACGCUCGGCCACGGUCACGCGGACAUCUUCCCACCGGGCCCCACGGCCCUGCUGGCCAAGGCCACCGGCACGAAGCUGGGGCCGCUGCUUCCUCACCGGCCUCCCGGCCUGGCCCGCCUCCUGACCCCAGUCCCGUCCAGCCCCUAGCAGACGCUCCUGUCGGCCCGGCCCUGCCCCCCACAGCCAGCCUCUCCCUGCACCCCAGCUCAGACACCUGUCCCCAGCCACCUGCCUCACCUGUGCUUGGUAGAGAAAGCCUGGGAGGAAAUGCACAAAUGUCAGUGCAGGUCCUCAGCGACUCGAGGGAACGCUUCCUCCCUCACCCUUCUCUGCAGUGCUAA
rnacentral:lncRNA from 1 species